GGACCCGCACAAGCGGUGGAGCAUGUGGUUUAAUUCGAUGCAACGCGAAAAACCUUACCUACUCUUGACAUACUUGGGAGCUCUUGUAAUGAGAGUGUGCCUUAUGGAACCAAGAUACAGGUGCUGCAUGGCUGUCGUCAGCUCGUGUCGUGAGAUGUUCCGUUAAGUCGGAUAACGAGCGCAACCCUUACCCUUAUUUGCCAGCGAUUCGGUCGGGAACUAUAAGGGGACUGCCGGUGAUAAACCGGAGGAAGGUGAGGACGACGUCAAGUCCUCAUGGCCCUUACGGGUUGGGCUACACACGUGCUACAAUGGUAGUGACAAUGGGUUAAUCCCAAAAAGCUAUCUCAGUUCGGAUUGUCGUCUGCAACUCGACGGCAUG
rnacentral:rRNA from 1 species